GUAGAGGAUCCAGCGCUGGUGAUCCAGCGCUGGUAAUCCAAUGUAGACACUUACCAGCGCUUUUCUUGACCUCCGUGGAAGGAGGAAGCCUCUGGUAAUCAAGCUGGUCUCCUUCCCUGCGGUUUGCUGGGUGGCUCCGGGAACGCGAGAGCAAACCGCGGCGAAGCGGGUCUCCUUUCCCGGUUUGCUCUCUCGUUCCCGGAGCCCCGAGCAAGCAGGUCUCCUUCCCUGCGGUUUGCUGGGUGGCUCCGGGAACGCGAGAGCAAACCGCGGCGAAGCGGGUCUCCUUUCCCGGUUUGCUCUCGCGUUCCCGGAACCCCCCUUGAAGCCGCCCAACAGCGCUGCAGUGUGGCCACAUCUAACACCACUUGCAGCGCUGGUUGCUGUAAGUGUGGCCACUCUGCAGCGCUGGCCCUAUACAGCUGUACUA